rnacentral:rRNA from 1 species
UGGGGAAUAUUGGACAAUGGGCGAAAGCCUGAUCCAGCCAUGCCGCGUGUGUGAAGAAGGUCUUCGGAUUGUAAAGCACUUUAAGUUGGGAGGAGGGGCAGUAAGUUAAUACCUUGCUGUUUUGACGUUACCAACAGAAUAAGCACCGGCUAACUUCGUGCCAGCAGCCGCGGUAAUACGAAGGGUGCAAGCGUUAAUCGGAAUUACUGGGCGUAAAGCGCGCGUAGGUGGUUUGGUAAGAUGGAUGUGAAAUCCCCGGGCUCAACCUGGGAACUGCAUCCAUAACUGCCUGACUAGAGUACGGUAGAGGGUGGUGGAAUUUCCUGUGUAGCGGUGAAAUGCGUAGAUAUAGGAAGGAACACCAGUGGCGAAGGCGACCACCUGGACUGAUACUGACACUGAGGUGCGAAAGCGUGGGGAGCAAACA